GCUGAGGAGUUCCCUUUGGACACGUGGAAUGUGAGCCCGUACCUGGAUGCCCAGGUAGAGAUCAGGCAGCUGCAGAGGCCGGUCUAAGGCUUGCGGGGCUAGACCAGGUGGAAUAACUUACAGUUUGAUAGCUGGUUAAAGGUUGUUUCUGUUUUUACCAUUUAUUGAGAGUAACCUCCAAAAAAAAGUCACUUUCUAGCUUACAAAGGUGUUGUGAGUGUUAAAAGCACCCAGAUCACCUCCUGAGACAGGGGUGUUGUGUGUCUCCUGAGUGCCCUGAGGUCCGGCGCCUUCCCGGAGUUCUAAAAGGAGCAGAGCAGCUGUGCUUGGUGGGUGGGACGCGCGGCCGAGGGCCAGGACUGAGCCUUCCUGCUGCGGACUGUGUUGUGUGAGCAGGUCGGGGAUCAAGCAAGAGUCUGUUUCUUUGAAGAAUUCCCCCAGGAGCCGCGUGUCAUGCCAGUGUUCUCUAAGAGGACAGAAAAUGUCUUCUGUUGCCAGAUGGAAGGGAAAGACGAGGAAGGGUAUACUGGAAAGGAGCUUGACGAACGCGUGAUUUUUCGAGAAAGUUGCCUGUAGAACAGACACCCUGAAACACAGGGACUGAAAUCUUACUAAAGAUGCAUUUCAAGCUGCAUGUGUGUGGGAGAUGGACAAGCACGUUGAAAAACAUCUGUGCCUGUGUGAAGACCGCCAAAAUGACGGGCUCGUGUUUGAACCUGGUUCUCAAGGCACUAACCUACGCCCCAGGCCGUGGUGGACAGUAGGUUUUCCAGCUUCCCUUCACAAGCCGGGGAAGACCUGUCCUGGCCUCCGGUUGCGAGCUCUCAAUGUGGCUUUGGUUGCCGUGCCUACCGUGGAGCACUUUCCCGGUGAUGCACUUUUAUCUGCAGAAGCCAAACUCACAGUUCCUGCUACCUACUUCUAGAUCCAGAGCCCGGCAGGCCGUCAGCUCAGCCUCUACUCAUCGCUUUGCCUUUCAAUUCUGUUCCAGGACCAUGGGCAUAUAUGUAUCUCAUUUUUGAGUGUGGCUAUGACUUUUUAAAUUCUCCUUUAAAUUUUAUCUAUACUGCUAUGUGUUGGAGCAGGGCGGGCUUCAAAGCAUUCACUUACAAUACCAUUGAAUCUGGUGAACAGGAAUAGGAACUGGGAAAAAAUGUUUACAGUGGGAUAGACCUGGGAGGUGAAAAAUGGGCAAUAAUGUACAGGUUGGAAGACUAAAGAACCUAAAGAAAUGAGGUGUUCAAGUAUCACUGGUGAGUUGCUGUGCAAGAACUCCAGUUAUUAAAAUGGUAGGAAAAGUCAUAAAAUUUAGAGCUGGUUGAACGGCCAAGACUCCCCUGGUCCUCUCUCCCUCUCCUUCCUUCCUCUCCACCCCCUCUCGCUCACCCCUUUCAUGUUGGUGAUAACCUCUAGGGUGACCAACUGUUUUGGUUUGCCUAGAACUGUCCUGGUUUUUGCGCUGCAAGUCCUGCUUUCUAAGAAAGCCUCAGUCCUAAGCAAUCUGAAUGGUUGAUCACCUUAAGUCUCUGUCUUUCACCUUGUGAGCCCUAAUAGAAGCCCUCUAAUACCAAAAUUAACUAUACUAAGGGAUGAACUUGAAAGAUAAUACUGGGAGGAGGAAGAAACAGUUGUAGGCAAUGGGCCUCUGCAGUCUUUGCUGGGGUAGAGGGAGCCACAAUCCAAGAAAUACUUUCACUUUGAAUUGAGUAGAAAUGUGACUAGAAAGGGCUCUUCAGAAUAUGUGAAUUUACUUGCUUGGAGAUAUCUGAAUAACCAAUGCAAACGAUAUUUAUAAUUCCUUAUAUUUUGGAUUCAGAAAUUACUUGCUUUUGGAAAGGAAGAUUAUAUAACCACUAUUUGAUUUGACUUCUCUGUAGUCAUCUUAAGUUCAAUAAGCCGAGCUGUUGUUAUUUAAGUAGGCUGUACUAGGUAAUAUUCAGUUCCACUGACUCCAUAUUCAUUGUCGGUGAUCAAAACCACACAUCAUGUCACUGUAUUCAAAGUAGCUUUAUCUUAGGAAAGCACUGGUCAGUGCUACAGCUACCACUACCACAGCUAAAAAUAAUGCUGCCAAGGUUGCCCUUGACUGUCAGCAGUCAUUGCUAACACAAUGCUAAUUUUCUUUGAAUGACAAUGGAUGUCAGUCAUGUGUAGCAGCAAUGUACCUUGAUUCAGGGAAUGAAUUAAGAUUGAUAACUUCAACCCAGUCAUGGUUAUACUAUUUCUCUUUAUAGAAUACUCAUUUUCCCAUCCUCCCUUCCUGUUAGGAGUAAAAUUUUACCAGCUGGGACCAAAGAGACAUAAAAUGAAAGUUGGCCGAGAGUUUUUCAGGAAAUGUUUUGCUUUUCCCAUAAAAGGGAUAGACUUGAAGGAAGGCUUGGGGCCAUCCCUCUUCCCUUUCUUCCUGUCUGGAGUGUGGAUGUGAUGCCUGGAUCUGAGGUAGCCACAUUAAGCCCACGAAGCAAUAUGCAAGAAGAUGAAAAGCAGUAGGUCUAGGAAGUUAGAAUGAGAAAGAGGGAAAGAGCCCGAGCCUUUGAUGACACAGUUGAGCUGUCAGACCAUCCCUGAGACCGUACACCUGGACUUGUUUAAUAAAAGCAGAUGUCGGGGCUGGCCCCGUGGCCGAGUGGUUAAGUUCGUGCGCUCAGCUACAGCGGCCCAGGGUUUCGCUGGUUCAGAUCCUGGGCGUGAUCAUGGCACCACUCGUCAGGCCUUGCUGAGGCGGCAUUCCACGUGCCACAACUAGAAGGACCCACAACUAGAAUACACAACUAUGUACUGGGGGGAUUUGGUGAGAAAAAGCAGAAAGAAAAAAAAACAAACAAUAAAAGCAGAUGUGCUUAUCAUUUAAGCCACUGUUGAUGCAUAUCCCUUUACUUGCAACUAAAAAACAAGUCCAUACUGAAAAGCAAGGUAAAUAACACAUAGUAAUGGUACAUGGCCAUGGAAAUGGGGAUACAUGUUGCCAGACGUCAUUUUUGGUGGAUUUUUUCACUCUAUAGCUGUUUAUACUAAGUAGAAAAGGAAGGAUGCUCUUUUGUUCUGCUCAGGGCUCAAUAAGUACUAAGUAUCAGUAUAAGAAAACAUGCUAGGCUGUGCUUUCAAUGCAGUGGCUGUUAAGGGAUGAGACAAGUAACUGUAGGUAAAUGAUGCCUUACCAAAAUCCUUUUAUGCAUCUUGGAAAUAUGAUUGCAUCUGUGCUAUAUUGUUUUGGGGCAAAAGGAAAUAGGCUGAGGACUAGCAGAUAUUCCAGGGCAAUGUGUUUGCUGGCAGUCUGGAUUAAAUCCACUGCAAGAACAGGACAAUCUCCUAUAGUGGGCUGGGAGUUGUACCCAUGAACCUGCUCCCAUCUGUAGAUUGAAGAAGAGGACUAAGCCAAUACUCAAGUGGACAAUGAGCCCAACCCAAGGGAGCUCAAAGAGCCUCUCUGUUGGAAGGAGGAUAGAUCUUACCUUGGUCAAGGAUGAGUAAAGAGGUCAAAAAUGAGUUAUGCGGGAGAAUGCUGUAGAACAAGGUAGAGGGAACAUCAUCCCAAGACUCAGAGGAAGAACAUGACUCUGAAAAUGAUUUACUGCAGGAAUCAGAAGAAGAUUUAGGGAAAUGUGCGGCAUCCUUAAUAGACAGAAAAAGGUAGGGAAGAAGAAAAAAAAACACUAACAGAAACCUGAAGAAACAAAUAUGUGAAGAAUGCACCACAGACUUCUGAGUACACUUAGCCUCUGAGUACCUAUGUGGACCAGCACUGCACUAGCAACUGAGGCUCAGAGACGACUAAAGCAUAGCUCUUGACCACCAGGGGCUCACAGUAUAGUGACCCUGUUCCAAAACAUAACUUAUUUCAAAAUGAAUGUAAUGGUGAGGUAUGAUGUCAUGAGGUUCUACUGUAUUUAAAAGUGUUUAUUUUCUAGACACAGUCACUUGAUUUUGGAAAGAAAUUAAAUUACCAUCUCCUAAGUAAGUAAAUGAAGCAGGGAAUGCACAGAGGGAUGGAAACCUCUGAACAUCUUAUUGAGCUCUGAUUGUUUCAUGCAAGACACUCUAAGAAAACCCAUCAUUUUUUAGAAGAUAGAUUUCUCCGUGCUUAGAUGGAAGUGAUGGAAGGUGCCCAGGAAGAGAGGUAAGGUAAUGACAACAACAAAAGCUGCUGCCUCUAUCCAACCAGCAAUCAGCCCUUUGGCUGACCCAUAAGCUCCUUGAGGACUCAGAUGAAUCUUUGCACCAGCACAGGGACAUGUCAGGAAAGCUCACUCAUUGCUUCUGAUAUUGACAACUGUCAAUCCAAUCCUGGCCACCCCUCGCCCUCCAGCCUUCCCAAUGAGGCCAGUUGCAGUGUAUGCUGGGAAUUUAUGACCUAGGGACCAUAGAGCACAGUGCUCAUUUUCUCUCUGUGGUGGAGAAUAGCAGCCUGAACUCAUCAAGAUGGUGUUUCCCUCCAUGUGGAGGAAGCUGGCCCGCAGGAGAAAGAAUGAUAUCAGCACCCAGAGAUGCAGUAUGGCAGAUCCGUGUCCAGCUCUUCAUGAGCUACAUCCACACCUCGACCUUCCUGCAAGCAUAUUAGCCUUCCAAAUACAUCUAAAUGAGUUUAAAGUGGGUUUUGACAUUUACAACCAAAAAAGAAAAAAACCCCACUGAUUGUUAUACCCUUUAUAUGUUUAGGUUUUCCAAAAGAAAAUUUUUUUCCUGAUUAUAAGAAUGAUACUCCUAAAAAAUUCAAAUAUUGAAAAGUAUAAUAUACAAAAUAAAAAUUACUGUAACUCCACCAUCUAGAUAUAACCGCUGUUUUAAUAUUCUUCCAGGCAUUUCUUUCUUUCAAAAGAGAGAUAGAUAAUUUUACAAGAGUGUAAUUUUAUAACACACCAUUUCACCUAAAAAUAUGUUUUGGGUAUUUUUAUAAAACAAUGCUUCUAAAUUUACAUUUUAAAAAUGAGUGUACAGUAUUUUAUUGUAUUAAAUCACUUUAAUGUACCCAGUCCCCUUUGUUGGACGUUUAGGUUAUUUCAAAGGUUUCACGAUUAUAAAGAACACUGGACACUUUCAGCAUCUGAUUGCCCCUUUAGGGCACAUUUCUCACUUCUCAACUUCUUAUACUGUUAUUUGUUUGGGACUCAACAAGUUUUGGCAACUCUUUGUGGCCUGUCUUAUCAGCUUCGUGUCUGCCCUCUUGAGUCACUCCUUAUUCAUUCCGACUGUCAACAAACAUUUAUCAAGAGUAUAUGAUGUGCCAGCCCCAUAGCAGAUUUUGGGGGAACCAAUGUGGAUAAGUCUUGGUUUUUAUCCUUAAUGAGGAAGGAGAAACUAGCAUCUAUUUAAAGCUGACUCUGUGCCAAGCACUGUACAGGAUUCCGUAUCUCAUUUAUUCUUCAUUUAAAACAAAACAAAACAAAAUGCCAACCCUGUGCAGUGGUUAAAUUAGUAUAAUCUCUUUUAUAUAAACGAGGAAAAGGAAGAUCAGAAAGGUCGAGGAGCCGGGCCAAGACCAUACAGUUCGUCAGUGCAAAGCUGGAAUUCCAACCCAGACAGACAGACAGACCCGCUUCUGUGUCUCAGUCCUCUAUACCAGGAGACCCUAACCUGCUGCCCUCCAGCACACUCACCUGGAUCACAGCGUCUUCCGGAGCAGAUGCUCCACACGUGCCAGCUGAUUUUGUCACUUAGAUAUAUGACUCUCUGGGAAAUCCGUUUCAGCAAAGAAUGACAAGGGAGCUAAUCAACCAUGACAAGAACAAAAGGCCAGCAGCCAGGGGAAGGGGAAAUAAGGAGCCUGGAUCAUCUGCAAAUUGGACUGUAGGCUCACGAACUGAUGGUAUCCCAAUUCACAGGGGCGAGAUGGUCUCGCUGUCCUUCACCCUCCUUGUAACUCAUAACAAAGACCUCCUGCAUGAGGUCCCUCCCCUCCAUGGAACCCACCCACCAGGGCAGAAGUGCAGAAAGUGUGGGGUGGGAGGGGAGGAAGGAACGGCAUGCAAAUCCCCACAGGUGCAGGAUGUAAAACGGAAGUGGCCCCCGGGGAGGCGAUGGGGCAGCUGUACCCACUUUGCAUAUACUCAUCGCAGGCUAAAGUUAGGUUCUGGCUCACACCACGUGGAGGGGCCACAUUCACCUACUCCCCACCACUGAGCAGGGGGCUUGUCUGGGCUUUGCUUAGGACGGGGUCUGGUUUGCCCUUUCAGAGUCAUAGAUUGGGCACCUGGUCAUCGUUGUUUGGGGUAAGGUCAGGGAAAAAUCACAACUGCUCCUUCCCUCCCCACAACCAAGUCUGAACAUCACAGAUUUAAAAUCUGCCUGAAACGGACCUGAAGGAUUGUCAUGUCUUGCCCAGUCAUCUUGAUGCUGUUAAGCCCAUCUCCUUCUUUGCUCCACCCCAUCUAAAACAUCACCAGAUCCCAUAAAAGAGGCCCCAACCUGGUAUUGCUCAUGGACCUCACCAGAACCGUUUCCACCAACCGGUCUCCUACAACAUUACUUGCUGCGCUCGGCACCCAUCCAACCCCUGACCCCACAAUGGGCCUUCGUUUUUGUGGUCUGGCCUCAGCCCUUACACCCAACGCUCAGCUUCUCUGGCCUCCAGUUUUGCUUUCUUCCUCAGCCAUGGUUUGCAUUCCUAUUGAAGCGAGCUGCCUUGAGCCACGCAGGCCCUGAGGUGUGCAGGACCCAGGCAGGUGGAGAAGGAUAGCCGCCCCAAAGACCAAAGCGGGAGGAUGGGUGACAGCCGAAGAGCCCAUGUGGAGAGGAGAUCUGUGGGCUGCAAGUGCCAAGUGGAGAUGCCUGCGCCCCUCAGGCUUGUUAGUGCCCCCCACCAGCUCCAGCCUCCUCUCAGCUGUGGGAUCUGAGCAGAACACUAAAGUCCAGGCCAGGGAACUAGGGCCCUAUUUGCCAGAUGCCAGGGGCACCUGUAUUGUGCUAAAGGCAUGGUGCCCCAUUGUGUCUUUGAAAGACUGCACAUUACACAGAGGAUUUAUUUAUUUUUUAGAAAGGG
rnacentral:lncRNA from 1 species